UGUUGCUGUCACAUAUACCCAAAUGCUUGAGCAAGUCAUGCAGCUAUAAGGUCCAUAUAGGUCUAGCUUAUGCACCCUAUCUGGCUAAAAACCUCUCCUUCACGCACAAGAAAAGCAUAUAUAUACAGUGUGAAAGAGAGAAACAGCUGUUCUCUAUAUACAUUUAAUAAUGAUGAAUAUAUACUACACAACUUUCACUAUGGAUGCGCCUUCUCGUCUUGUUUUCUCCCUUUGUUCUCCUCUCACUAUCUUUCUCCUUUUUUCCAUGAGCUUAAUUGUCAAGAAAACUGCAGAAAUGGGGGUUCCUUUGCAGCCCAAAACAACUCCAUCGCUGAAGAAGAUGAUGAACUUCAUGCUCCUUGUUUUGGACUGAAGGGAGCUCCUAGUUCUUCUCUUUUCCUUCUCUAAUGGCUUUCAAGGCUGGAAACUAUUAACCAAUAUACGUAUAUAUAUAUAUAUAUAUAUAUAUAUAUAUAUAUGCCUAGAGAGUGUUUGCUAUCUUGGAGGAUUGGAUAUAUCUAAGGGGACAUGACUAGAGACCAUACUUCAUAGGUGUUGUUGGAACUAUACAGGGAGAAGUCUGAAAUUGGAGUCUAAAAAUCAGGAAGCCAGAAUCAGUCAGCAUGGCAUUUGCCGGCUUUGAAGGAUUACACUGCAAUACUUGGUUGAAGAUAAUCUUGAAACAUUUAUCUAUGAUGCUUUCACCCGACACAGGAAGGUCCUGAAUUAUGCAGAUUAGAAAUUUUGCAGCCUAAUUCUGAUAAUAUUACUUUACACACAUAAAUAUUUGUUCCAAAAAUUGAAACCCUGUAUGAAAAGGUAAUCUUAACAGAAUCCUAGUUAAGAUUUGCUUAUAUUCAAGCAGCCCAUCCAGUGAUCCACUUAAUAUGGGACCUAUGUAUCACAAAGUACUGCAAAUUUUGCAUCCUCUGUUCUGUGAGCAUUUCACCAUUUUCUCUGGCAUCCUAGGCAUAUUCUUGAAUUCAUCUCUCUUCACAAACUCCAGGUAAUUGAGAUAUUAGGCUUCUACAUCCAAGAGCAUUUGAAUAUCAUAUUAUCAACCACUUCUCCAGAGUCACAGAAGGAUGCAUCAGCAGUCAGCAUCCUUAAAUUAUAUUCCCUGCAUCUUGUUUCUGUGUUGCUAAGGGCUUUUGAAGGUGCUUUGCUGGAAAUACAUGUACCAUUUUCAGUGUAACAUUCAAGGUACUUGAAUUUUGAACAGACCACUCAUCUCCCUCGACACUUCUAGCUGCUCCUGAAAUCUCUCAAUUGCAAAUUCCUCUGGGUAUACUGUUCUAAUUCAUCUAGGAUUGGAAGCAAGAUUAAACAUAAUAGCCAGGUAACACUAAUCAAUUCAAGCAAGUAAUGUGAGCCCAUGCCAUAAAUUGAAGAAAUAUACCAAUGACUAGAUACAAAAUGAAAAUUAUCCAUGUAAUUGUCUGCAAGUCCAAAGGUAGGAGACUCCCAGGAGUGUCCAGCAAAUUUAUGAGAGCCUACCCCAUAUACAUGCCCGGACACAAACUAAAGAAAGAAAUUGUCUCUACGUGACCCUCACAUUUUUUUCUCAUCCCUACAUUCACAAGCCCCAUGAACUUGCAACAAAAAAGAUCACAUGUACGCACACCUAAGCUAUUGGACACUUCUGAGGCCCCCACCUUCCAUCCAUAUCAAGCACAAGGGAGAUACUCUUCAUUGAUGGGAAUGGAAGGCAGACAUGUAACUUGCUGCUGCUUAAUCUGCCCUGCAGCCAGUUGCAGCUGUUGCUGUUGUUGGACAUUGCAGUUGAUACGCGAGCAUAACGUGGUGUCUCCACCGCCACCGCCUAGCGGUAUCACAGGGAGGUUGUCGCAGUUGCAGAUCUCGAUCAUGGAGCCAUCAGGAUCGUGGAAGAAGAGUUGAUCAACGCAGAUUCCACCCUCCUCCACCCUACUCUGCACGUACUCUAUCUUCAUCUCCUUAAGCUUUUUCUCCACUGUUGCCAUGCUUUCACACUGCCAUGUAUCAAGAGAGAUUUUGUCAUUUUAUCACAUGUUUUCAACUAUUCAUAGAAAACGACAAUAGAAUGGACUGAAACAGCUCUGCAUUUUCCCUGGCA